rnacentral:rRNA from 1 species
GACGAACGCUGGCGGCGUGCUUAACACAUGCAAGUCGAACGGUAAGGCCCUUCGGGGUACACGAGUGGCGAACGGGUGAGUAACACGUGGGUGAUCUGCCCUGCACUUCGGGAUAAGCCUGGGAAACUGGGUCUAAUACCGGAUAGGACUCCGGACUGCAUGGUCUGGGGUGGAAAGCUUUUGCGGUGUGGGAUGGGCCCGCGGCCUAUCAGCUUGUUGGUGGGGUGAUGGCCUACCAAGGCGACGACGGGUAGCCGGCCUGAGAGGGUGACCGGCCACACUGGGAAUGAGAUACGGCCCAGACUCAUACGGGAGGCAGCAGUGGGGAAUAUUGCACAAUGGGCGCAAGCCUGAUGCAGCGACGCCGCGUGAGGGAUGACGGCCUUCGGGUUGUAAACCUCUUUCAGCAGCGACGAAGCGAAAGUGACGGUAGGUGCAGAAGAAGGACCGGCCAACUACGUGCCAGCCGCCGCAGUAA